ACAAUAAAAAUAUAAAAAUAAUAAGUGCAUGAUCCUGCUAAAUAAAUAACAUUUAUUGAGGAGGCUCAACAUGAUAAAGGCUAGAUAUUUAUGCUAACACUUAACCAGUUCCACAAAGCUUUGUUGUCUAUUUGAGCUCCACAGAAUUUAAGGAUCAAAGAAGACUAGCAGACGGAGGACAUCCUAAUCGCUGUCAGGGUGCUGCCGACUUUCAAAUACACCUCCACCACCUGCUAGCUACAUGAGAAGAAAUUACGUCAAACUCUAGCUUGGGGGAGAGCACCCCCAUUUAUUCAGCUAAGUGUUCUACUCAUGUUUAUACUUUACUC
rnacentral:lncRNA from 1 species